CGCAGGUCUCCCCGCAGCCGCAGCCUCCGUUUUGGGUCCCCGGGAAGCCACAGUCGCCCCCCAGCGCCCCCAGCGGAGCCUCCCCGGGGGAAGGGGCGUGGCGCUGGGGGGGGCAGAGUCACCCCGAGGGCCGUGGGCGGUGCCCGGCUGUCCCGGGAGCGGCCGCCUCCCUUCUCGGCAGAAGCCCUCCCCGCCGGCCGAGCGGGGACGCGGGAGCUGAGGUUGGGCCGCGGGCGGAUGGAGGUCUGGGGGAGGGUCGGCCGGGAGCGCUGGCGCCAGCGGAGCUGGCUGGGAGCCUCCGAGGCUGACAGCUCUUCUGGGGCCGCCCUUGCCCCCGCGGAGUGAUUCAACCCCGGCUCGCUGCCUCUGCCUGGCGGGUCGGUGCACCCCCAGACCGAGGCCUGGGGCGUUCUGCUUCAGCAGACCGAAACCAGAAACGCAGCCCCCGCCACCCAGGCCGAGUGUGCCGAGAAGGAGCCGGCACCCUUUUCAGGGUGUCAGGGGACUGUGUGCCCGGUAGGAGGGGGCGCCUCCUGGAGCCCGAAGGGAGGGCGCAGUAGGGAGCCAAGGGUGGGUGGGAGGCCACCCCUCCACCUCCAGGGGCGGGCGGCUCCUCCAGGCAGGUGACAGCAGCGGGACAGCAGUGCUUUGCCCUCCAGGACCUGUGCACCCUCCUGUCUACCUGGAGACCCUCUUCGCCAUCGUUGCCAGCGUACUCCUGGCCUCAGACUCCCCAGAGGGGACCCCCCCCACACACACCCCUGCAGAGCCUGGCAGAGGGCAGCUGUGGGGGCUGCUGGAGCCGCGGGUGUGAUCUGGAGGGGACACGGGGCCCGGCUGUGUUUCUGGGGCAUAAGUGAGACUUCCUUUUGUUGUAGUCACUGCCCCGUUGAUCCACACACGUCACGAAUCAGUGACAGAGACUCGCUGUGGAAACCGGAGUGCGCUGGCCUGCCUGCUACCCUCCGGUGUUUGUGACUUUUUACCAGCUGUCCUGACGAAGCACAGGGUGGAGCGAGCGCUGGUGUGCUGGGUGGAUUCUCAUCCCCCGAUAGCUGGAAAGUUGCCCCUCAUGACACUGGCCACUGCAUCGACAGCCUCUGUUGCUGGGUGUUUCUUCUAAGCAAUUAAGUAGGAGAUGAUGAAACCUCUCUUCCGUGGGGGGAGGCAGGACCAGCGCCCCGUCUUUAUCAGCCAGUGGCCAUAAAUGUGGACCAUGAACUUUCCCACUUGCUGUCAGCCCGGGCAUCGCAGGUGCGGUCACCCCUGGUUCGUCUCUCCUGCAAGGUGGGGAAAGGAAAGUUAACCUGCCAGUGGGUUAAGCCCUUCCUGACUUUCAUACGGGAGCCGGGCAUUUUGUCCUGGUGACCCAGAGUUGUGGUGUGUGGGCUGGUGCCUCAACAACCCUCCAGUGCACCUGCGCCCCUCUUCAGUGAGUCCCUUUAUCCACUUGGGAUUUGCUCUCCUUUCCGUGAAGGUGCCCCACAAGCAUGUCCACCUGGGUGGUAACCCUUGCUGAGUUUUAAAAGUGUAUCUGUUCAGUCUGUUGAUCCAACAUCAGAUCAGCCUUGUCAGUUUCCUAAAGUUGAACGAACCACGGUUUUGUCUGCACGCUUUAGUUUUAUCACAACAGAACUGAGUGUGUCACCUGCAUCUCACGUGAAAAUCACAAAAUGCCCUCAUCCAUGACCAUUAAAGAUAGGUCACAUUUUUGCAAUGCCAGCAAUUUUGCAUAAACAGACUCUGUUUUCAGGUUUGCUGAGGUGCUGGAUAUUUGGAGGUGAGAGAUUUGAGGCACUCGAUUUUCUGGCAGGAACCAGCACAGGCCACGAGUCUCGGACUUCGUGCGGAGGUCUGCUGGGUAGGCUGAAGGAUGCAUCGUUUACCUUUUUUGUCUGCACGGGUCUUGCACAUCGUGUGCUACUGAUUUUAAUGUGAAAAUCCCCACGUCAGCGGGUCUGGUUGGAGUCCCGUUGGUCUGGAUGUUUUGGGAGAAUGUGAGAGGAGAGGGGAGCAGGCCCUGCGCUGGGCGCAGAUCCGUCUGAGUGCGCUGAGAAGACGUCAGGUGAAGGCCGAGGUAGCCGGGUGUCCUCUUUCUUCUGUGUCCACCUUCAUUUUGUCCUCUUCCUCUUUUUGCCCAGUGUCUUCUGAGUGGGUGGAGCCAGGCGUGCCCACCAGAUGCGGGUAGCGUGUGCUAGGCCAGGACGGCUCCCCAGGCUCAAGUCGGCCUCCUCCUGGGCCGAGGAUCCCCCGAGAGGGAGGCAACGUGUCAGGACGGUGUAUGUGGAGAGAGGCUUGAGGCUCGGUGCCCGAGCACGGGCAGGAGGACAGUGGCCUCGAUGCCAGAGACCGGAGGGAGGGACGCGACGAUGAGGCUGCAUAAGAAGAGAGCUGACUGUAGCUGAGUGUGUCAGCCACUCACCACCGAGUCCAGUUUCCGCACAGCACGAUCAUCGUGCCCUUGCUCACACACGUGUUAGAUGAGCUUGUGUGAGCUUUAUGGGCUGUAAUUUGUGAGUCUGUUCUGGGUGUGUGAUCCUGGCAGCCGGCUCGGCCUGGCCGCUCGUGACCUGGGGCCUUGUGGGGGUGGGGAGAGGGUGAGGAGGGGUGCACCCUCGACACCACCCUCUGAUGUGGCCUGCAGCCUAUGAAGAGUGAGGUUUGGGGGCCCAGAGUGUGAGUCACCAGCGGUAAAUGCAAACCAUAUGUGAUGCAUUUUCUCUGCUGCAGAAAGGGUUUCUGGUGACUGGCUCAGGCCAGGGCUCUGGAAACAGCAUUGCUUAUUUCACAUAAAAAUCCUAAGAAUGUGGGUGAACCUGUCUGAGAUCUGCGUAAUAAAACACUUAGUUGAAGUCACCGGGUUAGUUCCAGGCCCACUUGCUUAUGACGUGGCUGUUAGCCACGAGCUGGCAUUUACGUUAAAGUGUUGAGAAGAAGCGUGAGGGUUUUGAUGUUUCAGUUUCUUGAAAAUAUAACUGUUUCUACUCAGGACCUGCCUCUCCAAGAGUGUAGCACACUUCAUUUUUUUCUGUUUAGCAUGUAUGAGGGUGAACUUAGCUUGCUACUCACACACUACUCACUCUGUGGAGGAAGUUUGCCUCGCUUUUGUGGUGAGUCUUGCUGUAAUGAUAGCUUAUAUUUACAAAUACCGUCAGCAGUGCAGGGUCUUCAGGCUUGCAGAAAACGGUCAAGUCAUUACUUUGAGAAAUGUACAAACAUCUAUGCUUAAUGAGGUGCUAAAAGACAAAACUCAUCUACAAUCUCCUUCCCCCCAAACUGCCAACACUUCUGAUUAAUUUAAAAUCUGCUCUAAACGACAAAACUCAUCUACAACCUCCUUCCCCCCAAACUGCCAACACUUCUGAUUAAUUUAAAAUCUGCUCUAAAAGACAAAACUCAUCUACAACCUCCUUCCCCACAAACUGCCAACACUCUGGAUUAAUUUAAAAGCUGCUCUCUGGGCAGGUUGCAUCCCAGGGCUCCUCCUUCACACAUGGUGGGGCCCCACCUUCGCUUUACCUCUAGCGUCCCAGCCCUCGUGGUCAUCUGGAACCAGGGUUGGUACACAGGGCCUGCUGGCAUUCCUAUGAUACUCCGUGAUAUUCUGGAGGAAUCCAUCCCUUCCUUGGGGCUCCAUCCCACUGCCCCAGCACCUCCAGCCACCCUGAUUCAGGGACAUCGCAGAGAUUGGUGUUUGACGCUACGGCAGCAGAGGCGCAGACUCUUGAGUGUUGGAGGGUGUCUGGAGGGCCUGGGGGCCAGCACCGCCUGCACUCCCGGGAGCUCGGCCCCGCCCCACCGUGGCUCUGAGUGUCGGAGGGCGUCUGGAGGACCUGGGGGCCAGCACCACCUGCACUCCCGGGAGCUCGGCCCCUCCCCACCGUGGCUCUGAGUGUUGGAGGGCGUCUGGAGGGCCUGGGGGCCAGCACCGCCUGCACUCCCGGGAGCUCGGCCCCUCCCCACCGUGGCUCUGAGUGUUGGAGGGCGUCUGGAGGGCCUGGGGGCCAGCACCACCUGCACUCCCGGGAGCUCUGCCCCUCCCCACCGUGGCUCUGAGUGUGGGAGGGCGUCUGGAGAGCCUGGGGGCCAGCACCGCCUGCACUCCUGGGAGCUCGGCCCUGCCCCACCAUGGCUCUUGGUGCAGGUGCACUGGAAGGAACUGG
rnacentral:lncRNA from 1 species